rnacentral:rRNA from 1 species
UACGUAGGGGGCGAGCGUUGUCCGGAGUUACUGGGCGUAAAGCGCACGCAGGCGGUCUGCUAAGUUGGAGUGACAGUUGGUGGCUUAACUGCCAAAGUGCUUCGAAAACUGACAGACUUGAGGGCUUCAGAGGGACACGGAAUUCCGGGUGGAGUGGUGGAAAUGCGUAGAGAUCCGGAGGAACACCAAAGGCGAAGGCAGUGUCCUGGGGAGUACCUGACGCUCAGGUGCGAAAGCCAGGGGAGCGAACGGG